UAUAUGGCUCAGGAUGAACGCUGGCGGCGUGCCUAAUACAUGCAAGUCGAGCGAACGGACGAGAAGCUUGCUUCUCUGAUGUUAGCGGCGGACGGGUGAGUAACACGUGGAUAACCUACCUAUAAGACUGGGAUAACUUCGGGAAACCGGAGCUAAUACCGGAUAAUAUUUUGAACCGCAUGGUUCAAAAGUGAAAGACGGUCUUGCUGUCACUUAUAGAUGGAUCCGCGCUGCAUUAGCUAGUUGGUAAGGUAACGGCUUACCAAGGCAACGAUGCAUAGCCGACCUGAGAGGGUGAUCGGCCACACUGGAACUGAGACACGGUCCAGACUCCUACGGGAGGCAGCAGUAGGGAAUCUUCCGCAAUGGGCGAAAGCCUGACGGAGCAACGCCGCGUGAGUGAUGAARGUCUUCGGAUCGUAAAACUCUGUUAUUAGGGAAGAACAUAUGUGUAAGUAACUGUGCACAUCUUGACGGUACCUAAUCAGAAAGCCACGGCUAACUACGUGCCAGCAGCCGCGGUAAUACGUAGGUGGCAAGCGUUAUCCGGAAUUAUUGGGCGUAAAGCGCGCGUAGGCGGUUUUUUAAGUCUGAUGUGAAAGCCCACGGCUCAACCGUGGAGGGUCAUUGGAAACUGGAAAACUUGAGUGCAGAAGAGGAAAGUGGAAUUCCAUGUGUAGCGGUGAAAUGCGCAGAGAUAUGGAGGAACACCAGUGGCGAAGGCGACUUUCUGGUCUGUAACUGACGCUGAUGUGCGAAAGCGUGGGGAUCAAACAGGAUUAGAUACCCUGGUAGUCCACGCCGUAAACGAUGAGUGCUAAGUGUUAGGGGGUUUCCGCCCCUUAGUGCUGCAGCUAACGCAUUAAGCACUCCCGCCCCKGGGG
rnacentral:rRNA from 1 species